CCCUUAGAGUUUGAUCCUGGCUCAGGACGAACGCUGGCGGCGCGCCUAACACAUGCAAGUCGAACGAGAGAUGAGGAGCUUGCUCUUCAAAUCGAGUGGCGAACGGGUGAGUAACGCGUGAGGAACCUGCCUCAAAGAGGGGGACAACAGUUGGAAACGACUGCUAAUACCGCAUAAGCCCACGGCUCGGCAUCGAGCAGAGGGAAAAGGAGCAAUCCGCUUUGAGAUGGCCUCGCGUCCGAUUAGCUGGUUGGUGAGGUAAUGGCCCACCAAGGCGACGAUCGGUAGCCGGACUGAGAGGUUGAACGGCCACAUUGGGACUGAGACACGGCCCAGACUCCUACGGGAGGCAGCAGUGGGGAAUAUUGCACAAUGGGGGAAACCCUGAUGCAGCGACGCCGCGUGGAGGAAGAAGGUCUUCGGAUUGUAAAC
rnacentral:rRNA from 1 species